GUCUACGGCCAUGCCACCCUGAACAACCCGGAUCCUGUCUGAUCUCGGAUGCUAAGCAGAGUUGGGCCUGGUUAAUACUUGGAUGGGAGACCACUCAGGAAGACCAGGUGCUGUAGGCG
rnacentral:rRNA from 1 species